UCCGUAGGUGAACCUGCGGAGGGAUCAUUACCGAGUUUACAACUCCCAAACCCAAUGUGAACGUUACCAAACUGUUGCCUCGGCGGGAUCUCUGCCCCGGGUGCGUCGCAGCCCCGGACCAAGGCGCCCGCCGGAGGACCAACCAAAACUCUUAUUGUAUACCCCCUCGCGGGUUUCUUUAUAAUCUGAGCCUUCUCGGCGCCUCUCGUAGGCGUUUCGAAAACGAAUCAAAACUUUCAACAACGGAUCUCUUGGUUCUGGCAUCGAUGAAGAACGCAGCGAAAUGCGAUAAGUAAUGUGAAUUGCAGAAUUCAGUGAAUCAUCGAAUCUUUGAACGCACAUUGCGCCCGCCAGUAUUCUGGCGGGCAUGCCUGUCCGAGCGUCAUUUCAACCCUCGAACCCCUCCGGGGGGUCGGCGUUGGGGAUCGGCCCUCCCUUAGCGGGGUGGCCGUCUCCGAAAUACAGUGGCGGUCUCGCCGCAGCCUCUCCUGCGCAGUAGUUUGCACACUCGCAUCGGGAGCGCGGCGCGUCCACAGCCGUUAAACACCCAACUUCUGAAAUGUGACCUCGGAUCAGUAGGAAUCCCCCAAA
rnacentral:rRNA from 1 species